rnacentral:rRNA from 1 species
UACGUAGGGAGCAAGCGUUGUUCGGAUUUACUGGGCGUAAAGGGCGCGUAGGCGGCAUAUUAAGUCAUCUGUGAAAUCUCCGAGCUUAACUCGGAACUGUCAGCUGAUACUGAUGUGCUAGAGUGCGGAAGGGGCAAUCGGAAUUCCUGGUGUAGCGGUGGAAUGCGCAGAUAUCAGGAAGAACACCCGUGGCGAAGGCGGCUCUCUGGAACGCAACUGACGCUGAGACGCGAAAGCGUGGGGAGCAAACAGG